rnacentral:lncRNA from 1 species
AAAAAGGCAUAUCCAUUUAAAAUCCCCGUUCCUGAUUUCUUUUCAAGAUAGACAGGAACAUGGGCAGGAUGUUUAUACAGCAAAAUGUAAACAUAAUCGCUGGGCUUCUUUAAAUAAAAAAUCAAGCAAAACUCCUGCUAGAUCAGCGAAUGCCCCUUUCCGAUGCAUUGAAAAUGUUCGUUUUAGAGGCCGUCGUGUGUUUGGAUUUGACUUUUGAAAAUAAUUGCAGAAAGGCUUUCAAGCUGUUUCUGAAACGCUGCUUUCUUCCAAAGAGAGGGAAAAGCAUCCCCUCGGCCGGGCGAUGCGCCGUGUCUGCGCUGCGAACUCGGAGGGGAUUUGUAAGAGGCGCCUGGCGUCCUCUCCUUCAUCAGAUGUCAUCCACAAAUCAAGAUUGA